UGCAGAUGAUGUAAACGAAUAUUUGCUAUCUUAUCCAUACUGAAGACAACUUUUAUCACCAAGAUCGCUGAUGCA
rnacentral:snoRNA from 1 species